rnacentral:rRNA from 1 species
AACGAACGCUGGCGGCAUGCCUAACACAUGCAAGUCGAACGAGACCUUCGGGUCUAGUGGCGCACGGGUGCGUGACGCGUGGGAACCUGCCCUUAGGUUCGGAAUCACUCACCGAAAGGGGUGCUAAUACCGGAUAAUGUCUUCGGACCAAAGAUUUAUCGCCUUUGGAUGGGCCCGCGUUGGAUUAGCUAGUUGGUAGGGUAAAAGCCUACCAAGGCGACGAUCCAUAGCUGGUCUGAUAGGAUGAUCAGCCACACUGGGACUGAGACACGGCCCAGACUCCUACGGGAGGCAGCAGUGGGGAGUAUUGGACAAGGGGCGAAAGCCUGGUCCAGCAGUGCCGCGUGAGUGAUGAAGGCCUUAGGGUUGUAAAGCUCUUUUACCCGGGAUGAUAAUGACAGUACCGGGAGAAUAAGCUCCGGCUAACUCCGUG